AAGUAAGAAACCUGAUUCUGAACACCGAACGUCAGGACUCCUGAGAUGAGUGGUCCUCAGAGUUUAGUAGGAGAAUCACGUGGAGAGCUUAACGUGGUGUGCGAGGCGCCAGAUUUUAUUUGCAACAGAUGACUUUUUUGCUCCUGCAGAAAACCUUAUAAAG